rnacentral:tRNA from 1 species
GGGGAUAUAGCUCAGUGGUAGAGCAUUUGCCUGGUAUGCAUGAGAGACUGGUUUGAAUCCUUAGUAUUG